rnacentral:rRNA from 1 species
GAUGAACGCUGGCGGCGUGCCUAAUACAUGCAAGUCGAGCGAACGGACGAGAAGCUUGCUUCUCUGAUGUUAGCGGCGGACGGGUGAGUAACACGUGGAUAACCUACCUAUAAGACUGGGAUAACUUCGGGAAACCGGAGCUAAUACCGGAUGAUAUUUUGAACCGCAUGGUUCAAAAGUGAAAGACGGUCUUGCUGUCACUUAUAGAUGGAUCCGCGCUGCAUUAGCUAGUUGGUAAGGUAACGGCUUACCAAGGCAACGAUGCAUAGCCGACCUGAGAGGGUGAUCGGCCACAAUGGAAAUGAGACACGGUCCAGACUCCUAAGGGAGGCAGCAGUAGGGAAUCUUCCGGAAUGGGCGAAAGCCUGACGGAGCAAAGCCGCGUGAGUGAUGAAGGGCUUCGGAUCGUAAAACUCUGUUAUUAGGGAAGAACAUAUGUGUAAGUAACUGUGCACAUCUUGACGGUACCUAAUCAGAAAGCCACGGCUAACUACGUG